AUUGAACGCUGGCGGCAGGCUUAACACAUGCAAGUCGAGCGGAUGAAGGGAGCUUGGUGCUGGAUUCUGCGGCGGAGGGGUGUGUUAUGUCUAGGAAUUUGCCUGGUAGUGGGGGAUAUCGUCGGGAAAGUGGCGCUAGUACCGUAUAAGUUCUGAGGGAGAAAGUGGGGGAUUUUGGUAUCUCACGCUUUGAGAUGAGCCUAGGUCGGAUUAGCUAGUUGGUGGGGUAAAGGCCUACCAAGGCGACGAUCCGUAACUGGUCUGAGAGGAUGAUCAGUCACACUGGAACUGAGACACGGCCCAGACUCCUACGGGAGGCAGCAGUGGGGAAUAUUGGACAAUGGGCGAAAGCCUGAUCCAGCAAUGCCGCGUGUAUGAAGAAGGUCUUCGGAUUGUAAACCACUUUAAUAUGGAACGAAAGGCAUUAAGUUAAUACCUUGCUGUAUUGACGUUACCAAAAGAAUAAGCACCGGCUAACUUCGUG
rnacentral:rRNA from 1 species